GAGUCCCCCCGUGCAGCCAAGAACGUUCCCAGGCAGAACUCCGCUCCCCUGCUCCAAACUGCACUCCUAGGGAAUGGGGAAAGGCCCCUUGGGGCGAAGGAAGCGCCCCCCUUGACACUCUCGCUGGUAAGUCAUGGUGGGGCGGGCACAGGAGGGACCCCUCCUCUGCACCUUUCAGUGACCCUGUGACAUGGCCCUUCCCAGGUGAAGCCAAGCGGGAGGGGAGCUGCGCCCUCCCUGACCUCCCAGGCUGCGGCUCAGGUGGCCAACCAGGCCCUGAUCCGGGGUGACUGGAACCGGGGCGGUGGGGUGCGGGUGGCCAGCGCACAACAGGUAAGCCCGGCCCAGUCUGCCCCCAUCCCCUCAUCCUCCUUUCCCCUUUCCCCCUGCUUUUCCCUCCCUUCCCCAUGCUUCCCAUUGCCCCUCCAAUGUCCAGUUCAAAUCUCUCGAGGACCUCAAGGCCUCCCCUCCACUGCACCCCCUCUGAUGGCCCCUUUAUGUGACCCUCAACUGUACACAGGUCCCUCCCCGGCUUCCUCCGGGGGCCCGGCCCGGCCGGAGGAUGUUCAGCACCUCUG
rnacentral:sRNA from 1 species